rnacentral:rRNA from 1 species
UUGCACCUGGUGGCGAGUGGCGAACGGGUGAGUAAUACAUCGGAACAUGUCCUGUAGUGGGGGAUAGCCCGGCGAAAGCCGGAUUAAUACCGCAUACGAUCUACGGAUGAAAGCGGGGGACCUUCGGGCCUCGCGCUAUAGGGUUGGCCGAUGGCUGAUUAGCUAGUUGGUGGGGUAAAGGCCUACCAAGGCGACGAUCAGUAGCUGGUCUGAGAGGACGACCAGCCACACUGGGGCUGAGACACGGCCCAGACUCCUACGGGAGGCAGCAGUGGGGAAUUUUGGACAAUGGGCGAAAGCCUGAUCCAGCAAUGCCGCGUGUGUGAAGAAGGCCUUCGGGUUGUAAAGCACUUUUGUCCGGAAAGAAAUCCCUGGCUCUAAUACAGUCGGGGGAUGACGGUACCGGAAGAAUAAGCACCGGCUAACUACGUGCCAGCAGCCGCGGUAAUACGUAGGGUGCGAGCGUUAAUCGGAAUUACUGGGCGUAAAGCGUGCGCAGGCGGUCUGUUAAGACAGAUGUGAAAUCCCCGGGCUCAACCUGGGAACUGCAUUUGUGACUGGCAGGCUAGAGUAUGGCAGAGGGGGGUAGAAUUCCACGUGUAGCAGUGAAAUGCGUAGAGAUGUGGAGGAAUACCGAUGGCGAAGGCAGCCCCCUGGGCCAAUACUGACGCUCAUGCACGAAAGCGUGGGGAGCAAACAGGAUUAGAUACCCUGGUAGUCCACGCCCUAAACGAUGUCAACUAGUUGUUGGGGAUUCAUUCUCCUUAGUAACGUAGCUAACGCGUGAAAGUUGACCGCCU